AAUCCAUCUUCUCUCUCGCUCGAUCUCCUUCUUUGUUUGAUUCCUCCUCCAAUCUCAAUAACUACAUCUUCUUUUUCGUUUGAUUGCUUCUCUGCAGUUACGAUCGUUUCUCCUCUCGAACCUUCUUCUUCAACGCAUCUGAGAGUAUCACAUUCGAGUUGAUUCUGUCAAUGUGGUCAAAGAAAAUGAGCUUACAUUUUGUGACCGCAUCAAGUACAUUGAUGGAGAAGGGAUCAUGCAUGGGGCUAAAGGCAAAUGGUCUGAUGAAAUGAUUUGCUUCAAAGGAUGGGACACUUUUCUUCUGUGAGAUGCCCACUGUGAGAUGCUGCAGUUUUUUUCUCAGGUUUUUAUCUUAGUAGUACUUUCUUUAUCCCCAAGCAACCGUGAACUUAUUGAUGUUUAAUGUUUGUAUUUUGAAUGAGGUUCAAAUCAUUCAACUUAAAAAAAAAAAAAUUUAAGAAC